UUUUAGACCCGGAAGUGACGUUACCAUUUCUAGGCAAGACGAAAACAACACCUCCAUUUAUCGAACACAAGUCUUGGUUUUUAGCACGAGCGCAGCAUUUUCGAGCACAAACAAAAUAUGACAGAAAACAGCACGUAACAAGACAAAACGAAUAUCUUCAGGCACAUGGAUACUAAUUAAAAACAAGUGUGAUUUACCCUUGAUCAGGAGGUGCUGGUGCUUUAUUCUAUUGGAGAAUUUUGCUGUUGGAAGUUAUCUCUUUCUCUGUGGCUAACGUGUGAAUAUUUCGUACAGGACAAAGGCGUUCACUAAAGGAACCACUAAUAAAAAAGGACCUCCACACUGCAGUAAAAUGGUUGCGCCAACAUAGACGGUUGUUCAGAGGUGCCGUGUCUG